rnacentral:rRNA from 1 species
AGCGAACGCUGGCGGCAUGCUUAACACAUGCAAGUCGCGCGGUCAGCAAUGGCAGCGGCGGACGGGUGAGUGACGCGUAGGUAUGUGUCCAGAGGUGGGGGACAACCCCGGGAAACUGGGGCUAAUACCGCAUAUGUCCUGAGGGCCAAAGCAGUAAUGCGCCUUUGGAGCAGCCUGCGUCCGAUUAGGUAGUUGGUGGGGUAAUGGCCUACCAAGCCUGCGAUCGGUAGCUGGUCUGAGAGGACGAUCAGCCACACUGGGACUGAGACACGGACCAGACUCCUACGGGAGGCAGCAGUGGGGAAGAUUGGACAAUGGGGGCAACCCUGAUCCAGCAAUGCCGCGUGUGUGAAGAAGGUCUUCGGAUCGUAAAGCACUUUCGGCGGGGACGAUGAUGACGGUACCCGCAGAAGAAGCCCCGGCUAACUUCGUGCCAGCCGCCGCCGUAACAC